AAGUCGAACGGUGAAGCCAAGCUUGCUUGGUGGAUCAGUGGCGAACGGGUGAGUAACACGUGAGCAACCUGCCCUGGACUCUGGGAUAAGCGCUGGAAACGGUGUCUAAUACUGGAUAUGAGAUGUGAUCGCAUGGUCAUGUUUGGAAAGAUUUUUCGGUCUGGGAUGGGCUCGCGGCCUAUCAGCUUGUUGGUGAGGUAAUGGCUCACCAAGGCGUCGACGGGUAGCCGGCCUGAGAGGGUGACCGGCCACACUGGGACUGAGACACGGCCCACACUCCUACGGGAGGCAGCAGUGGGGAAUAUUGCACAAUGGGCGGAAGCCUGAUGCAGCAACGCCGCGUGAGGGAUGACGGCCUUCGGGUUGUAAACCUCUUUUAGCAGGGAAGAAGCGUAAGUGACGGUACCUGCAAAAAAAGCGCCGGCUAACUACGUGCCAGCAGCCGCGGUAAUACGUAGGGCGCAAGCGUUAUCCGGAAUUAUUGGGCGUAAAGAGCUCGUAGGCGGUUUGUCGCGUCUGCUGUGAAAUCCCGAGGCUCAACCUCGGGUCUGCAGUGGGUACGGGCAGACUAGAGUGCGGUAGGGGAGAUUGGAUUUCGUGGUGUAGCGGUGGAAUGCGCAGAUAUCAGGAGGAACACCGAUGGCGAGGGCAGAUCUCUGGGCCGUAACUGACGCUGAGGAGCG
rnacentral:rRNA from 1 species